UGGGGAAUAUUGGACAAUGGGGGCAACCCUGAUCCAGCCAUGCCGCGUGUGUGAAGAAGGCCUUUUGGUUGUAAAGCACUUUAAGCAGGGAGGAGAGGCUAAUGGUUAAUACCCAUUAGAUUAGACGUUACCUGCAGAAUAAGCACCGGCUAACUCUGUGCCAGCAGCCGCGGUAAUACAGAGGGUGCGAGCGUUAAUCGGAAUUACUGGGCGUAAAGCGAGUGUAGGUGGCUCAUUAAGUCACAUGUGAAAUCCCCGGGCUUAACCUGGGAACUGCAUGUGAUACUGGUGGUGCUAGAAUAUGUGAGAGGGAAGUAGAAUUCCCAGGUGUAGCGGUGAAAUGCGUAGAGAUCUGGAGGAAUACCGAUGGCGAAGGCAGCUUCCUGGCAUAAUAUUGACACUGAGAUUCGAAAGCGUGGGUAGCAAAACAGGAUUAGAUACCCUGGUAGUCCACGCCGUAAAACGAUGUCUACUAGCCGUUGGGGUCCUUGAGACUUUAGUGGCGCAGUUAACGCGAUAAGUAGACCGCCUGGGGGAGUACGGCC
rnacentral:rRNA from 1 species